rnacentral:rRNA from 1 species
GGGCCCGCACAAGCGGUGGAGCAUGUGGUUUAAUUCGAUGCAACGCGAAGAACCUUACCAGGGCUUGACAUACUACAAAUUCUUUGAAAAGAGAAGUGCCUUCGGGAAUGUAGAUACAGGUGGUGCAUGGCUGUCGUCAGCUCGUGUCGUGAGAUGUUGGGUUAAGUCCCGCAACGAGCGCAACCCUUAUUUUAGUUGCCAUCAUUUAGUUGGGCACUCUGAAAGAACUGCCAGUGAUAAGCUGGAGGAAGGUGGGGAUGACGUCAAGUCCUCAUGGCCCUUACGUGUUGGGCUACACACGUGCUACAAUGAUAUUUACAACAGGAUGCAAGAUGGCGACAUUAAGCAAAUCCUAAAAAGAUAUCUCAGUUCGGAUUGCACUCUGCAACUCGAGUGCAUGAAGCUGGAAUUACUAGUAAUCG